CUGUACAUUAGAAAGUAAUGCAGAAUGCAAGUGUAAACUAAACCACUUCAGGAGUCCUUCACAACAGUGUCUGCAUUGCAGCACUUGCAAUGAAGAAUCCUAUUGUAAAGGUGUUUGUAGUUCAGUAGUAACACCAUCACAAAACUCACCUCUUAGUACAGAAAAAAAUACCAAUGACAAGACCAAGAUCAACCCAGUUACAACGGAAAAUAUCGUCACAACAUCAUCAAAAAUGGUCUCGCCUGCAACAGAUAGCAAGUCUAAGGAUAAACCUUUUUGGAAAUCACUGGAAUUUUGGCUUCCUAUUGUGUUGAGUCCAGUGGUGUUACUUGCUGCUUGUAAACUAUUCCCCCAAGUUUUCUGUUGUUGGACUAAAAAAUUUAAGAAAUUUUGGACUGAACACCUUCCAUUUUUUGGUAAGAUAUAUUUGUCUUUUUCAGUAAAAUUCCUCUCUGAUCAUUUGUGGUUGGGGAUUGAUUGAUUUAUUUAUUUUCCACAUAAUGAACAAAAAAUACAUAUACAUGAUCAAACAUAUUCAAAAAAUCUAUGUGG